ACGGUGAAGAGGGCGAGGGUUUGUAGAGUCACUGUAAAAGUGGAACUGUAGAGGGGAAGCAAAUCCAAUAUCUUAUCUCAUCAUCGUCAUCAUCAUAUACCCUUUAUUCAGAAUCACUCAAAGAAAAGUAAGAACAGUGUUGAGAAAAAUAAAGAGAAAGGAAGAGAUUAAGCAGACAUGGAUGGGUUGCAGGUAGCUCUUCCGAUUGUGGGAGUUCUUGCGGCGGCAGCUGUGACUUUCUAUGCAGUGAGCUUUUCUGAGCUUAAAGAGAAAUCGUUUAGAGAUUUGGAAGAAUCUGAAUAUGAAGAUGGAGUUUAUAGGCCAUCCCCUAGCUCCCGAGAGAGGCGUGCCAGAAGACAAGCUAACAAAAAUAAUAAAAAAUGAACCUUAUUAUUAAGCUUGUGUUUAGAUAGAGUUUAGUGUUUUUAAUCAGAAACAAAACUGGAUUUUCAAUAUAAAACAAUCUCAAAGGUUAUUGUAUCGAAACAAAGUUUAGGGAUUUUCUUUUUCGAAUGAUAUGUAGUUGUCUAUUUA